rnacentral:rRNA from 1 species
GGGUUGUGAGGUUAAGCGACUAAGCGUACACGGUGGAUGCCCUGGCAGUCAGAGGCGAUGAAGGACGUGCUAAUCUGCGAUAAGCGCCGGUAAGGUGAUAUGAACCGUUAUAACCGGCGAUUUCCGAAUGGGGAAACCCAGUGUGAUUCGUCACACUAUCAUUAACUGAAUCCAUAGGUUAAUGAGGCGAACCGGGGGAACUGAAACAUCUAAGUACCCCGAGGAAAAGAAAUCAACCGAGAUUCCCCCAGUAGCGGCGAGCGAACGGGGAGGAGCCCAGAGCCUGAAUCAGCAUGUGUGUUAGUGGAAGCGUCUGGAAAGGCGCGCGAUACAGGGUGACAGCCCCGUACACAAAAGCGCAUGUGCUGUGAGCUCGAUGAGUAGGGCGGGACACGUGGUAUCCUGUCUGAAUAUGGGGGGACCAUCCUCCAAGGCUAAAUACUCCUGACUGACCGAUAGUGAACCAGUACCGUGAGGGAAAGGCGAAAAGAACCCCGGCGAGGGGAGUGAAAAAGAACCUGAAACCGUGUACGUACAAGCAGUGGGAGCACCCUUUGGGGUGUGACUGCGUACCUUUUGUAUAAUGGGUCAGCGACUUAUAUUCUGUAGCAAGGUUAACCGUAUAGGGGAGCCGUAGGGAAACCGAGUCUUAACCGGGCGUUAAGUUGCAGGGUAUAGACCCGAAACCCGGUGAUCUAGCCAUGGGCAGGUUGAAGGUUGGGUAACACUAACUGGAGGACCGAACCGACUAAUGUUGAAAAAUUAGCGGAUGACCUGUGGCUGGGGGUGAAAGGCCAAUCAAACCGGGAGAUAGCUGGUUCUCCCCGAAAGCUAUUUAGGUAGCGCCUCGUGAAUUCAUCUCCGGGGGUAGAG